ACCAGUGAGCAGUUUCUGCAGAGGCAGUCAAGCAUGUGGACAUGAACAGAAGUUUUGAUACGGAUUCAUUGUUUCGGUGGGAGUUCAUUUUAACUCAAGGACUUCAAGUUACUUUCGGAUUAUGAGGAUACCUUGUGCGUUUGUUUAUGAAUCUCACGGGGCUGAAGUCUUAAUACCUUUGAGGAGACAUAUUGCAUCGCACACUUGAUAAAAAGUAACAGGUUGACAUACGCAUUUAGUUUUUCAAGAAGCUAGAGAAGCAUUAGGAGCAUGUGUGGAGUGUGUGUCUGGAGCCUCAGAGUCUCCAUACUCCUGCUCUUUAGGCUAUACACACUGGACUGCCAGCUUGCAACAGACCACAGAAAGGUCCCUCAGAGGGCAGAGACCCACCAAGGAGCUGUAGCCGGC